rnacentral:rRNA from 1 species
UACAGAGGGUGCAAGCGUUAAUCGGAAUUACUGGGCAUAAAGCGCGCGUAGGUGGUUUGUUAAGUUGGAUGUGAAAUCCCCGGGCUCAACCUGGGAACUGCAUUCAAAACUGACAAGCUAGAGUAUGGUAGAGGGGUGAGAAUUCCAUGUGUAGCGUGAAAUGCGUAGAGAUGUGGAAGGAACACCGAGUGAGCGACGCAGCCC